AUGAAAUUGCAACAUUUGGUGAAAAAA
rnacentral:sRNA from 1 species